rnacentral:rRNA from 1 species
CCUACGGGAGGCAGCAGUGAGGAAUAUUCGUCAAUGGACGCGAGUCUGAACCAGCCAAGUAGCGUGAAGGAUGACUGCCCUAUGGGUUGUAAACUUCUUUUAUAUGGGAAUAAAACGUUCCACGUGUGGGCUUUUGUAUGUACCAUAUGCAUAAGGAUCGGCUAACUCCGUGCCAGCCGACGCGGUAAUACGGAGGAUCCGAGCGUUAUCCGGACUUAUUGGGUUUAAAGGGAGCGUAGGUGGAUUGUUAAGUCAGUUGUGAAAGUUUGCGGCUCAACCGUAACAUUGCAGUUGAAACUGGCAGUCUUGAGUACAGUAGGGGUGGGCGGAAUUCGUGGUGUAGCGGUGAAAGGCUGAGUUAUCGCGAAGAACUCCG